GACGAACGCUGGCGGCGUGCUUAACACAUGCAAGUCGAGCGGUAAGGCCCGUUUCGGGGGUACACGAGCGGCGAACGGGUGAGUAACACGUGGGUGACCUGCCCUCAGCUCUGGGAUAAGCCUGGGAAACCGGGUCUAAUACUGGAUAUGACUCCAUGACGCAUGUUGGUGGGGUGGAAAGCCUUGUGCGGCUGAGGAUGGGCCCGCGGCCUAUCAGCUUGUUGGUGGGGUGAUGGCCUACCAAGGCGACGACGGUAGCCGGCCUGAGAGGGCGACCGGCCACACUGGGACUGAGACACGGCCCAGACUCCUACGGGAGGCAGCAGUGGGGAAUCUUGCGCAAUGGGCGAAAGCCUGACGCAGCGACGCCGCGUGAGGGAUGACGGCC
rnacentral:rRNA from 1 species